ensembl:snRNA U6 U6 spliceosomal RNA
GUGUUUGCUUCAGGAGCACAUCUACUAAAUUACCAAUACAGAGAGUAUUAGCAUGGCCCCUGUAAGGUGAGAUGAAGUUUGUGGAGAGUUGAAAACAAAACAA